CAUGUCCUUUUGAAUUUGAUUUAAGGUCUAAUCUGCCCACUGAGGAAUUGAAUGGCCGCGGUAUUUUGACCGUGCAAAGGUAGCGUGAUAAUUAGUUUUUUAAUUGAAAGCUGGUAUGAAUGAUUGAACGAGAAAAAAUCUGUCUCAAUUUAAAUUUUAUUAAAAGUUUAUUUUUAAGUUAAAAAGCUUAAAUUUUUUUGAAAGACGAGAAGACCCUAUAGAGUUUUAUACUAUUAAAUUUAAUUUUUAUUGGAAUUUUUAAAAAGUUAAUUGUAACUAGUAUUUGGUUGGGGUGACUUAAAGACUUAAUUAACUCUUUAUUUUAAAACAAUGAUUUUUGGAUUUAUGAUCUACUUAAGUAAUUAAAAGAAUAAAUUACCUUAGGGAUAACAGCGUAAUCUUUUUAAAAGUUCUUAUUGAAAAAAAGGGUUGCGACCUCGAUGUUGGAUUAAAAUUAACUUGGGAUGCAGAAGUUCUAAAGUUAGGUCUGUUCGACCUUUAAAAUUUUACAUGAUCUGAGU
rnacentral:rRNA from 1 species